UACGUAGGGGGCAAGCGUUAUCCGGAAUCACUGGGUGUAAAGGGUGCGUAGGUGGUAUAACAAGUAAGGUGUGAAAGCCCGUGGCUCAACCACGGGAUUGCACUUUAAACUGUUAUACUAGAGUACAGGAGAGGUAAGCGGAAUUCCUAGUGUAGUGGUGAAAUGCGUAGAUAUUAGGAAGAACACCAGUGGCGAAGGCGGCUUACUGGACUGGAACUGACGCUGAGGCACGAAAGCGUGGGGAGCGAACAGG
rnacentral:rRNA from 1 species